UAGAGACGGGUUUCACCAUGUUAGCCAGGAGGGUCUUGAUCUCCUGACCUUGUAAUCUGCCCGCUUCGGCUUCCUGAAGUGCUGGGAUUACAGGCAGGAGCCACCGUGCCCGGCUGCACUUUUCAAUAAACAACGAUUCUGCAGCAAGUCUUGGCUGAACCGUGUGGCCUUCUCUUCUGGCGACUCUAUCUAGCCAUCUGUGUAGAACAGGACAUGUGGGGGGCAGUAGUGGAGCUUUUCCAAAUAACUCUGUAUGCCAGCAGUGGUCGUGGAUCACACUAAUUGUUCUGCUAUUCAAUUAAAGGAUUUUUUUUCUUCCAGAUGCUUCCUUCUUUAAAUGUGUUAGCUAUAGGGCAAUCCAUUUUAAACUGGGAACUUGGUUGCUUUCUCUGAUCUUAAAGCAGAUUGCUGGUACUUGUCUGUUUCUAUCACUUUUUGCUCCUCUGUCCUUUCCACUUCCACACUUCCCCAACGGCCUCGGCUCCGAGAACUAAUAACGUUGCUUUUUAGUCCCUGGCUAGAUCAUGGACAUAGAAAGCCAAACCACAAUAGGUUAGAUGUGAAGUGUAGUGAUAAAGAGGAAAACAGUAUGAUGGUAAAUAUGUGGGUUGCAUUUUCAAUUUUGCAUUUUUAUUGAAUUCCUGUUUUUUCAUUAAGUAAUUCUCCCUGAGCUUGGCCACAUUUUUUCUGACGCCGGAUAUGUGGGUUUGUUGAUUUGCAGUAUUGUGUGAUGCUUUAUGUAUACGUUUGACAGGAUGCAUAUUCAUCCCACUAACAUUCAUUAGAACCCAAAUGAAUGCACAGACGUGAAUGAUAGAUUUAAGCACACGUGUCUGCUUUCCUUCUGAUAAACAGUAGCUUUUCAGGACUGUCAACUAGUGAGGAUUCUCAACAGAGCUUUAUUUGAGAACAAAUGGAGAAUCUCUCUUCAAUUACAUAAUUAGAAUUAAAUCCUAGAAAGGCACCUCAGUGGCUGGUAAACCUUUCUGCAGACUUCGUUUUGUGAAAGAAAAUGCUAGUCACCGCUGCUUGUUCCUGCACAUUGUUUUGUUUUGGAUAUGUUCAAGUAUAAUUGUUUCUGCUGUUCAGUGGCCUGUUUGCAAGCAUGUAUUUGUUAAAACACAUUGAGAAGGAAAUUUUCAGUUUUUAGGAAAAUCAGUUUUGAACUAGAAUUCAUAGACCAUGCUUUCCGUGGUGACGAUGCUGGAUUGCUUCACAGCACUGGUCCUCUCGCGCUGCCGAGUGGAACGAUGACUAGGCACUGUGUGACGAGGCACGAUGCUGAUUAGUAUCCAGAAAAAAAGUCCUCAGCGCCAUGUAGCUUUCUAAGCUCUUGCUUUACAUAAAUAUGCUGGUAACUACUGACUCUUACGUUUUGGCAGUGAUUUUGCUAGUAAACAUAUUUUCAGGGCAGAAACUCUACAAUGUAAAGGAAGAUAUUGCCCCCACUCCCCAGCCAAGAAAAAAAAAAAAAAAAAAAAGGGAAUGAAAUGUGUGGCUGUAUCAGCCCUUGCCCCUCAAAUGGGUUUUGGCAGACUUUAAGAGAAGUAAAAUAUAAAUUAAUUCUCCAAGAAUUUAGGAUGCUCUUCCAGAAAGAGACGAGUCAGCUUCCCACAUCGAACAGAGGGGAAUCUUUCGCAUAUUUAGUCCAUCUUCUGUAUUUACAGAAUUUUCGCAUUACUUUCUUUUCUUGGUUUACAACAAUUCAACAAUUCUUUUCUUUAAAGCUGUCUAAGAAAUGUGUGUUUCACUGAUCCCAGAGGCGGUGCAAUUCUGGACAGCACAACGAAGGUUUAUGUUCACACAAAUUGUCUAGCUACUAAUUCAGAGAGGUCUUCUGUGGAUGGACAUUGGAGUAAUUUAAGCUCAACUGUUUUUCAAGUCAACAAAUAUUGACAUUUGCCUGUUACCCUCCAGGCAUUGUUCUUUUUUCUUCACAUUCUUUCUUGCUUUCUACAAGUUAGGCUAAUCCACUAUUAAAGUAGAGACACGAUAACACGAAUUAUUAUUGCAGUAUUAAUUUUCGAAAAACAAAAUAAGGAAAGCAUAUUUUGAAUGGCGGGAGGUGUGGACAAUCGGUGGAAAAUCCAGGUUUGUCUUUUUAUUUUUUGUGCCAGGUCUUGUUCGCUCAGUGUUUACAGUUGGGACCGAUACAAGUCAGUUACCUGAGAAAAUCUGUUGGAGAAAAUAGCUACUGAAACUCUGAAGAAUCUGUCUUUCCUGCUUAUUUUUCAAGCAUACUCUAACAUACUUAAAUCAGCAAAUUUCUAGUGGAACUGAAAAAAGCUCUGUCCUGUUGGUCAGGCUUACGUAAACACAGUAAUGUAAGCAGUACUUGAGGGCAGAAAUUGUCCCAGGCACAAGCUAUUGUCACGACUAAGCUUUUUACAAGGCAAGGAUGAAUAAACUCACGACUUUAGUUGUGCCCCAUAGUCUGUUAAUCUUUCCAUCUUUUAAUGCAAACUUAUUCAUACUCGAAAAAUAUAUAUUAUAAUUCACAUUAUAUGUGUACAUUCACAUACAUAUUAUUGAGACUUCUAUUGGAAAUAUGUAGAAAUACUAUGUAGGCACUUGUAAGCUUCAGGUGAUAAGUAUACAAUUAAAUACACAUCAUGAUGACUAUUUUUGUAAAAUGAUUAUAGCUAAUUAUUGAAAAGUGCUUGAAAUCUGUAUGUACCUCCUGAUUAGGAAUCUAAUAACUACAUAUUAAAAUUUAAAGUUACUAGAAAUGUUAUGUUUCACAACAUUUAAUGAACCUAAAUAAUUUGGAAUACUAACCUUAUAAAACAUAAUUAUAGAAUGCAGGUAGUUUUUAAUGGAAUCAAGUCUUUCUAGUUUAUUCAAUGAAAUUUCAUGUUUUCUUAGCUUACAAACUAAUAGGAAUAUCAAUUUAAUUUUUACAAACCUAACCCCUUUACAUCUUAAAGUAGAAAUUAGAGUAUUUCCCAUUGUAGAAGCUUUUUGUGAUAUAAAAACAUAGCAUUUAGUGAAGUACUUCCAUGAAGUCUUAGCAAUCUGCUUAUUUCAAUGUGAAAUAACUGAAUAUAAAAACAUUUAGCAAUUUUGAUCAAUGAACUUAUGCUGACAUCCUUUUGGCGUAUCUAUAAUAUAUUAUUGAUAAAUUGCUAAUAAUAUUUAUAAUUUAAAAUAGUUUCCAAUUGCUGAGGAGCACUUAGAGAUGAAAGCCUUCUUCCAUGGAUAGAAAUUAUGGGAGUCCCAGAUGUGAAAAUUGCCGUGUAUUUUUGGUUACGGACACACCCCCAGUUCUCCUCAGGCCGUGGUACACGUACUGCACAGAGAUCCUAAUGGCCAGUCCAGGAAUGCCUGUGUCCGGAAGCACUGAGUGGAUGAUGGCCCCCAGAACAUUCCACAGGGUUGGAGCGAGCACUUCAGUCUGCACAUGAGGGUGGUGACAGACGUCAAUUAGGAAACUGAUGUCAAUUACAAAAUUCCUUUUGCAUGAAAAAUUCAUCUUCAGUUUAUAAGGGUUGAUUAUUACUCCUGUGCCUUUUUAUUUCCUGAAAGUCACACUUGAAUAUUAAGAAGAAAUAAUUUUACAAAACCAAAAAUGGCUGACAGCAGGCAAGUGAGAACUAUUAGUUAACUGAUCAAAAAAAAAAAAAAAAAAAAAAGAGUGGAAGUGGACAGAGAAGAAAACUGGCAAUAAACUGAUUAUAAGUUCCUCUGUCCCUUCUUCCUUUCUUCCUUCUAGCCCGCCUUUAUAUUAUUUUUUAGCAGAACAAAUUUUCCUGGGAAAACUGGAAGUUUAUUCUGAAGCAGUAACAAGUAACUUCCGUGACUUUGCCAUUUCAGCUUUCACUCUUGGUGAAGGUCAAGGCAGUGGCAGAUGAAGGCAGGCCUCCUGCAACUACAAGUCACUUUUCCCUGCUCAAAGGGCCUCCCACCUCAUCUUUGGGCAAGGCUCACCUGGCAGGUAGCCCAAGGGAGGGCUGUGGGUCACUGCCCACCACUGUCCUCUAGCACAUCUGUACAUGUAGGCAUGUACAUAUGCACACCCCACCCCUGCAUACGCAGACCUACAUUCACGUGCAUGGAUACACACAUGCACGUAUGCAGGCUCACAUGCACACAUGCACACACCACCCCCCACAAACACACACCUACACUCAGGUACACACAGAUACAGACAUGCACACCAUGCCUGCACAUACACGUGCAAACACUCCUACAUCCACAUGCCCACGCUCACAGGCACAUAGGCACAGGUGCGUACACAUACCCACACACAUGCACACAUCCACGUCCACAUCCACACCCACACACACUAUUAAGAAAAAAUCAAAAACUUAAACUGAAUUUGGAGGUAAGCAGCUACCAAUAAGAGUUGCAGUGAGCUAACUGGGGACAGGUCCCACCGGAAAUCAUAACGGUGGGUGUCAGGAACUGGGGGGAAGAGGCUGUAGGGGCUCCAGGCCUUUAGGAUGUUUAGAUUCCAUUGGUCUUAGCCUCGUUUUAACCCACCUUGCAUCAUUCUCUCUCAUCAAUCAUAAUUUAAAUAUUUGUUUUCUCUACAUCUCUUUGAUCUUUUCUGUAAAUUGAGGUCUUCGACAGAAUUUUAUGUAAAAAGAAUGCUGACAGCGGCAUUCGAAUUUUUAAAAACAUUCUUUCUGAUUAACACAUUUCUCUUUUGUGGCUGAACCACUCAUCAUAGGAGGAUUGUUCACUAGUCCUUUGCUUUCAACAGGCCUUAAGAUCGUCUGUGGAUUGUGUAACUGGAGAAUUGUGUUUGGGAGGGUUUGGGCUUCCUGGCCACGAGGCAUCUUCUCUCCCAUCUUGCAGUAAGUUGACCGUCGCUGUGCUGGCCGAUCCACAGGCCUGGUGGUCUGAGAGGUACCUUGCUCUCUUAUAGUACCUCUUUCUGCAUCUGUUACAAGAAAGUGUUUAGAAGAACCAAUGUAUUUUCCCAAGAAAAAGAAAUCAGGAACCUGGUGUAUUGUGCCUGAUGCUUUAGAUAAACUAAUCCAAAUCAGGUGAGUUGUCUGUUGUUUACAGCUGAACGUCAAACAGAGAAAGCUGAUACAUAGAUCCAAUAACUCUGUUAUCCCACAUUGUACAUAGACUCCAACGUUCUGUCUAAGUCGUUAAGUUUCAAGGGAAAGCAAAGAUGGGAGGGUAGUUCAUACUUACGCUUUCCUGUUUUGUUUUGUUUUGUUUUUGUGUGUGUACCAUUCAGCAACCUUGUCCCUCCUUGGUGUGCUCUGCAGGUGGUGGCCCCACCCUCUGUCAUAUAAAUUCUCCCGCCUAGACUUCGCAUUUUUGUGAGGCAUGAUUUUGAAAUUUCAGAAAUUAAUUUCUUUUGGACGAUGCCUAGAUUCAGCUGUGAAUGAGUCUGUGCACAGAUUGUGAAACGUGCUCUGGCCUCGUUCGUCUCUGUUGAAAGGAAAUGGCAGCCCCUUGCCAUACCAGGAAAGGGGCAUCCACGUUCAUCUGAAUGAAGACUGCCUCUUCAGCCACAGCUAAGAUGCUUGUAAUAGGACUGAGAGCCGCCUCUGUUGCAGGAAGCCCCUGGGAUUUCAGAGCUGCUUGUAACUGCAGCCUAACACAGCCUCAGCAGACUGAUACGUCGUCGUGUCACCAAAACAGAGCAGGAAGGAAUCAGAGUCAGCAGUGAUGGUUCUGUUGGUUAACACUAGUGACACUGAGUGGCACACUCACCUGAAUGGUGCAUGAGUUGGCACAAACGGAUUUGUGGAUGUGAUUUGGAAAUGGAGAGAUUCUGUGUCCUAAAACCAAUCUACAGAUGAUGACCUCCAGGAACAUGGAUGGAGUUGGAGGUCAUUAUUCUUCACAAACUAAUGCAGGAACAGAAAACCGAAUGCUACAUGUUCUCACCGGAAUACCUAAAAGAACAAAAGUUCUGCAUUGAAGAUUCCUUGUGAAACACUCGGGGUUGUAGGUAACUUCUUUUUCCCUAUGAAUCAAAAUCUUUCCAUUAAAUUAAUAAAGAGUUCUCGGGUUGCAGGAGAGCCAAGUUUCUGUCAUUCUCCGUUACACAUUGGGAAAUGGGAAAGAGAAGAAAGAAACGUGCUGGAACGCGGAGAGCCAGCCGCUCUGCUGAGCCUCUUCCAGUCACUUUAUGAGAGUCAGUCAUGCCAUGGAUCAAAUGAGGAGAUUCCUAAAACCGAGACAUUCUGUGUAGGGAAGAAGCCCCUUGGCAAGCGGAAGAGUAUCACCUCGUUUGAAGUGAACCAAACAGCCGGCUCAUUGUUUGAGAAACAGUUGUUUCACGGGUGAAUCGACUCCUCUUCGGCAGCCACUGGUUUGCUGAGGAUUUACUUUGAACAUUUCGAUGACCCUUCAAAAUAGCUUCUUCACUGAAUUCUCUCAAUUCCUUCAUGAAGUGUAACAUCUAUAGCAUCUGACUGACGGUCGUUGGUACCAGAAAUGGCCCCAGCAAACAAACCCUCUGAAAAGACUUCUGGCGUUGGUUGCUCCUGCAGUGGAGAAGUAUGCAGAUAACUUUGCAGGAGAUGAGGCCCUGAGCACACUCAGACAGUGAGAAAGCCUGGCAGCUUGGUGGGAGCUCCUCACUUCCUAGUCAUGGCAGAUGUGGCUGAGCUCUGCCUGAUGUAUGGGCUGUGGACCUGCAGCUUCGAUGAAGGCACAGCCCCACGGCUCUCACUCUCAGGUAAUGGCUGGUUGGGGAGAGGUGGGAGACCGAGACGUGUAAGAGACUAAGAAGUUUAAACCUCCAAUUCUCCCUGAACUUGUCUUCAGGCAACUCCUUCUCCAGGUAUAAAUGCCCUUCAGAGAAUACACCUGCGGAAUCUGCUCACAAACAGGUGCACGUCCCUCUCGGCUGUAAGCCCUACCACCCCAAUUGCCACCAGGCGCAUAACGCGAUUAGAUCCCAGCACAGCCCAGACGGAGAAGCACAAAUCCUUGUUUUGGAGGCGAUAGUCUGUCUACCAAGAGAAUUACAGGGUCCUGCCAAUUACAUCUGCUGGGGCCUGGGGAACAUCAUGGGAUGCCUUCGAAGGCUGUUAGACUAAUAAAAGUCAAAUGGAAGCAGUGAUUGGGCUGUAUUUAUUGACGUGGGUAUAAAUAUUCAGGAUUUGGAAUGUAAUAUGUUGGCUUGAGUCUACCAGGUUGGCUGAGUGAAGCCUGGACUCAAUGGUGACCUGGAGUCAAGGAAGCUCAAAUUCUGGAAUGUCUCCAUCCAACAGCCCAGGAAAAAUGGGGAAGUUAGAAUGGGCCUAUUAGGGGCAACCUGCUUACCUACCUUCUAAUGAGGUCUCUUCUCCUCCUCCUCCUUAUUUACCUCCUUUCUAGUGGGGCCUGGAGGGCUAUCCCUUAACCGAAGUGUGAUGUGGUGUGUGCUGUCAGCCAGAUGUUCCAGUCAGCUGGCAAGGAGCCUCCUCUUGAAAAUUAUUUAGGCUGCUCUGAAAUGUACCAACUCUUAUAGAAGACAAUAGUCCCUGUGAUAAGGCUGGGAAGAGUCCUAAGGACCAUGGCCACUAGUUUCAAAAGCACCUGGAGGAAGACGAGCUCAUUUCUUUUGGUGAGGAAGAGGAAGGCCACACGGAGAAGGUAGGAUUCAAGCUGGGCCUUCAAAGUUGAGCAUGGGUAUUUUUUUUUAAUAGAUGAAAGGUGAGAGAAUACAUCGAAGGUAGGUAACGCUUGUUAGUUGAACCAGUAACUAGGUCAAAGAAUAGAACAACAGCGAGAGGAAAGUGAGUCUCACAGGAAAGCCUGACAAGUCAAGAAAUGUGGGAGGGAGCCUGGGGACAGUGUGGUCAAUGACCUCUUCUGACACAAGUGCACGAAGCUAGGAGAAAGGGCCCUGGGGAGACUGAGGCACAUCCCAAUUGCCUGCCUUGAGAGGGACACCAUGCUUCUGUGAAUGAAGCCUGAGCCCACCUGCAUUGUUCCUUUUCAGUGCUCUUAUAACUCAUCUUCAGGCCCUUUUUCUCAAAACCCACUUCUAAGCUAGAUGUUAUCUGUGCCAAAAUUAUGAAAUUAUUUGUGGGAAUCUAAAAUCAGAACUUCACAUUUAAAAAAACUUGUAUGUCUAAUGAAUUGUUUGUAUUGGAUUUUGUCUCCUUUGGGCCUUGAAAUCAUCUUGAAUAUGGAUUCUGUUGCCUGGUAGAUGAGCUGCCCCACCAGCUGUGGCUCAGGGGACUUUCCUCCAGGUUAACUGCAGUGGACUCCUCAGCAUCCAUAAGUUCACUGUUGUUUAAUCAACUAUCAAUGUCUCCUUACACUUUAAUUCCUCCCUCCUUUGUCAAGUCAGACACUUUGAGGAAAUCACAGUGCCUGUGUUCUUCUGAUCUACAGGUCUCAUGAGCCCAUCAAAAACUCAGUGAACUUGUUUGGUUGGAUGCAUCCUUUAUUGCUUUUAAAAUACAACAAAGCUGUCGAUAAAUUAUUCCAUCAUCGCUUUUCAAGGUAUCCAUAUUAAAUGUAGCAGUCUAGAACUCUAAAUUCAUUGCCUUGCCCUUUCUUAUAUAAAAUAUGGACAUUUGUGUGUCUCCAGUGUUCAGGCAUCCUUCUUUCUUUAGUAGGAUUCCUCAGACAUUACUAAAAGUGGUGAUGAUAUGAAAUGUAUCAAUAAAAGGUACCAGGUAAAGGAUUUUCAGGUGUCCAAGCACACGAAUGAGGUUGUGGGCACCUUGCAAUGCGUCUGAGGCUUUGGCUCUCCAUGCCCACAUUCCUGGGAGUGGCGCUCAGUGGCAACAGUAAGAUCCAAGCCGCCUCCCGGUCGGUUCCCAGGAUGUCCCUCUGCCUGCUCCUGGGGAGAUCACGGGAAAGGAAGGGCGAUUGAAGGCAUCACACCCUGGUAGGAAUUUUCCAAUAUAAAUCCAGUAACUGUUUCCAUGAUGACCUAAAAAAAGAAGAGUCUGGAAUCAAUUUGUAACUUUUUCUAUGCCUUCCCCACUCUGACUCAUUUUUUUGAUUGGUCGUUUUUCAUUAUUUAUUGAUGGAGGGUUUGCCUUUGUAGGGCAGCGUGGCAUUAGGCCAGUGUAGCCUGAGGCGAAUGUGUACCUGGAGAGAGGUCAGUUCCUGCAUUUCAGGUGCACAGAUUAUGAAAUCAGGUCCCUCCUGCGCUAACAAGGAUCUCAUCCUGUAAGCAGUAGGCUGUAUUUACUGUAUGUACAGCUUUACCUGCAGGGCGAUUGUGUUUUGUAAUUAGUACCACUCCAAGUUUUAGCUAAAUUUUUGAGGAACUGGCGGCCUCACAGGGUUAUCUCAUUACUAGUAGAAGCCCAAGGAAUGUAUACAAGCACACCUACAUGGCAACCCCACUCUACCCAAAUAAUGACAUCAUUUCUGUUUUUUUCUCUCUCUGAUUAAAUGCCUCUUCUCUUUUGUCCAACUCUUCUGCACACACUUUAAGGGGCUUUCCCUGGUGUGUGUCCUCUUUUGUUCAGCCACCCGGAAAUUGAAGUGCUUCAGGCCCUUUCAUUCUUACGUAAAACCUUGGCUGCUUUUUCUCCCUAAUAUUUGGAAAAGUCAAGGUAUCCUGUGAGCUGCCAAGUGCACUGGGGUGGGAACUGGAAAGGAUCCAAGGCCCUAUUAUUUCUUCCCACUCCUUCCUAGCUCAUGGUGAACUUCUUGCACCAAACUCCUAAUGUUUGUAGCAGUUCUCUGGGACGUUUGCCCUUUGCACCCUAUCCCAAUUACACGCAGAGUCUGAUUCCAGAAUUAAUCACCAAUAUGGAUUCAGAUUAGCAAACAACUACCACAGACCGACCAGCAGGGCAGCCUUUGGAAAUAGCACUUCCCCGGUUGGCCACUGGACAUAGACAGAGCUGUGCAGACCUUGGUCUCACACUGAUUGGCUGUUAGGUGAAGGACUGAGACCUACCUUCCUGUUUUGAUUUACUGGGAACAGGUCAAAGGGCCCCUGAAAAGUAUACAACACUUCCCGUUUAAAAUAGAUCUUGGAAGACACUGAAAGAAGAAGGAAGAAUGUGGGAAUGCAAAUGGGACAGGGUUCUUUGAUCCUAAACCCAGUCAGGAUCUUAAUUAGCUGUACGUGGAAGACCACAAAGGACACCCUCCCCUAGCGAAGGCCUCUCCAAGUGAGAUGCAAGUUCCGGGAAAUGAUUGAGUUGUCCCAUGUCCAGAUGAAUCCACCAUGAGGUUCAGGGAGAUUCUGAAUGAGGAGCCUUCUUUGUCUCUGUGUAUUCUGAGUGAGUGAAAUCACUGGUAAUUCAGAGAGUGUCUGUAACAGAGAGGAUUUUUAGCUGUGAAUCAUAUACCAUGUACUAUAUAUACACAUAAUAGAAUGGGAGAGACUGGCCUCCCCGCCUUCCCUUCUCACUCUCCCCGUUUCCCACCCAAGAGGUCCAGAUAGGGUCACUGAUGAGGAUGGUGUGGAUGAGGGGGACACUCAGGAAAGAAUCCAGGGAACGUCCAGCCUUGGUGGUUGAGCCAAGAUGAAGGACUAGCCAAGAAGGAUUGAGCAGCAGCUGCAAAGGGAGGGAAACACGGAGAAAAGGAGUACAACCCAAGCCAGGCCAUGAAAGUGUCUCCAAUGGUGAUUGCUGUCUAAACUAUUGAGAAAUUGUGUGAGACAAAGAUAGAAAAUUAACCGCUGUGUUUGACCAGAGGCAGGUCCAUGCUGAAUUCAACAAGAGUAAUUUCUGUAAUGCAUUGGAAAGCUCCAUUUGACAGACGUUACACACAAGGUUCAGUUAUUCAGGAAAUAGGCAUGUUCGGUUUUUGCAAUGGUGAGAAAUUUUCCCACAAAGUUUUGCAGACUUCUAUUAUUUUCUAGCACUGCCUGCUGUAAAAACCUGAGCCUAAAAGGAAUUUUCCCCUUUGUAGGUGUCUUCCUUUUUAUGCUGCGAUAUUGGAAGAAAAUGUCCAUGAUCCUCACGGUUCAAGUGAAGUGCAACAAUCUAACCAGGAUGUGCCUCAGUGACUGGCCUCUAUUUCCUUUUCGCGAUAAAGGUACAUACCCAGGAACAUCGAAACAUAUGUCCCUGCAAAAACAUGUACAGGAAUGACCACAGCAGCAAUACUCACAAUAGUCAAAAAGUGGAGACAAUCCAAAUGUCCAUGCGCUGACGAAAAGAUAAACAACGUGUGGUAUACCCAUACCCAGAUGACGGAGUGCCAUCAGCUGUAAGGAGGAGUGACGUUCUGGUAGGCUGUGUGAAAGAAGCCAGACGCAAAGGCCACAUGGGUCACUCCACGCAUAUGAAGUGUCUGCGACAGGCAGAGCCAUGGACACAGUACAUGGAUUCCUGGUUGCCUAGGGCUGGGGGCGGGGGCGACUAGGGGCAGGUGGGGAGUCACUGCUAUGGGGAGAGGGCAUUUCUCAGAGGUGAGAAAGGUCUCUGAAAAUUGCUUGUGAUGGUUGCACAACUUUGAGAAUAUACUAAAAUUCAUUGAAUUAUAUGCACUAAAUGGGUGAACUUUCUCAAUGAAUUAUAUACACUAAACGGGUGAACUUUCUCCAAGAAUUGUAUACACUAAACGGGUGAACUUUCUCAAUGAAUUGUAUACACUAAACAGGUGAACUUUCUCAUUGAAUUAUAUACACUAAACGGGUGAACUUUCUCAUUGAAUUAUAUACACUAAACGGGUGAAC